AAAGUUAAAUAUAGAGGAAGAAUUCAUUUGUGAAAUACCACCAAAGUAGUACUGGGUCUUUAUGGGUUAAUCGCAUAUUAUGGGAUGUACUUAACGCAUUCAGAACGCUUCAGCCUUUUCAACUAAAAAUUACAUGUCAAUGAAUGAAAUUAUUUUUAAAAAGUCAAGCGGUAACAAACAACUAUGAUAAUAAUCUAAUGUGAAAUGUUCAUUAGUUUUUAACUGGUGGUUUUAAUUUAUAAAUAUUUAUAAUGAAGUUAUUAAGUCUUUAAUUAACAUAAUAAUGUCAUCCCAGUGUUCAUGUAAUCAGGCUCAGCAGGUUGAUGCUGUUAAUGCAUAGCUUACUCCAUCAGUUAGCAUGCUAAUGCUUUAGUAACCAGCUACUAGUGUUUAUAAAAGACAAAAGGAGCCUUAUUCUCUAGACAAAAACCCAUGAUUUAUUACUGUGAUACUGUUUUCACAGACACUGCUGUUAUUUUUUUUACACACGAGUAGAAAUCUGUGUUUAGCUUCGAGCUAAUAGCACUGCUAGCUUUAGUUAGCAGCAUAUGACACUGUUAACAAAAUGCUUAUGUAACUUAAAAAUGAAAUACAGCGCAUAUGAUAUAAAACACUCUCUUAGCUCUAAAUAUAAGAUGAAUUUGUCAUCCCGUUACAACCUGUUAUGCUGUUUAGCAGCUACACAUGAAUAAAAAGCCAUCUUUUUAGCUAGUGCGCUAACUGCCAGCAUGCUAAUAGCUAAUAUUUUUGUCAUACUUUACUGUUUUGAUGUCACAUUUAGCUCUAAUGAAACUGUCAUGUAUAAAUGUAAUUUUGUAAAUAUAUGAGAUAUAAUAAUGAUGUUUAAAUAUUAGUAAUUUAUUAGUAAAUAUCAGCUGACACAUAUAAAUGCUACAGCAGCAUCAUCAAACUGCUCAUUAACUUAAAUUGCAUCAUAUAUUAGAGAUUUUCUCAUCUUUAACUACAAGGUGUGUUAUUAUAUUAUUAUUAUUUCACGUUAGGAUGUGGAAAACAUGAACAGAACAUUUAUUUUUAGAAUUAUAGUGUGCUAAUUGCUAAUAUUUUUCUCCUAUUACAAGUUUAUGCUAAGAGGUCGUGUAUUGUAGUUGUGUUAGGGUAAAUUUAAUGGGAACAAUAGUUAUUUUAGCCAAGUAAGUUAAAGUGUUUACAGCCUAAUUAACAAUAGCAUAAAAGAGCAGAUGAAUGU